rnacentral:rRNA from 1 species
AGAGUUUGAUCAUGGCUCAGAAUCAACGCUGGCGGCGUGCCUCAGACAUGCAAGUCGAACGCGAAAGUUUCCUUCGGGAAGCAAGUAGAGUGGCGCACGGGUGAGUAACACGUAGGUAAUCUACCUUCGGAUGGGGAAUAACAACCGGAAACGGUUGCUAAUACCGCAUAAUGCAGCGGCACCUAAUGGUGACAGUUGUUAAAGCGGGGGAUCGUAAGACCUCGCGUCUGAAGAGGAGCCUGCGGCGGAUUAGCUAGUUGGUAAGGUAAUGGCUUACCAAGGCGACGAUCCGUAACCGGCCUGAGAGGGCGGUCGGUCACACUGACACUGACAUACGGGUCAGACUCCUACGGGAGGCAGCAGUCGGGAAUUUUGGGCAAUGGGCGAAAGCCUGACCCAGCAACGCCGCGUGAAGGAUGAAAUCCCUCGGGAUGUAAACUUCGCAAGAACGGGAAGAAUUAGUGGAAGUUAAUACCUUCCAUGAUGACGGUACCGUUUGUAAGCUCCGGCUAACUCCGUGCCAGCCGCGGCGGUAAUAC